CCUACGGGCGGCAGCUGUGAGGAAUAUUGGUCAAUGGACGAGAGUCUGAACCAGCCAAGUAGCGUGAAGGAUGACUGCCCUAUGGGUUGUAAACUUCUUUUAUAUGGGAAUAAAAUGUUCCACGUGUGGGAUUUUGUAUGUACCAUAUGAAUAAGGAUCGGCUAACUCCGUGCCAGCAGCCGCGGUAAUACGGAGGAUCCGAGCGUUAUCCGGAUUUAUUGGGUUUAAAGGGAGCGUAGGUGGAUUGUUAAGUCAGUUGUGAAAGUUUGCGGCUCAACCGUAAAAUUGCAGUUGAAACUGGCAGUCGUGAGUACAGUAGAGGUGGGCGGAAUUCGUGGUGUAGCGGUGAAAUGCUUAGAUAUCACGAAGAACUCCGAUUGCGAAGGCAGCUCACUGGACUGCAACUGACACUGAGGCUCGAAAGUGUGGGUAUCAAACAGGAUUAGAUACCCUAGUAGUC
rnacentral:rRNA from 1 species